CGUUAUUCACGGGAGGCGACCGUUACUUGCAAGUUACGACCGUUUACCCGCUCCAGCGGCGGCCGUUACCCGCCGGCAGCGACUGUUACCUGCUGCUUUGUUUGCGCUGAAACGGAAAAUUGAAGGCGGUAGCAGAAGAAUUUAGAGAACUCAAAUAAUAAGGACUCCUCAAAAAGAUUAUGUGUAUCAGUGGAAUCCUGCUGCAUCCAGUAGUGUGGAGUAAAAACAAAACAAAACAAACCCACAGGGCCCUGUGGAGACUCUCUGCACAAAGGUUCUCUCCUGUGUGUGUGCAUGUGGAAAGGUUCUUCAUGUACCUCCUAAGUUGAGAGAUAUAAUUUGAACGGAGAAAAUUAUGGUUCAUAAAGUGCUCUUGUUAGGUGACAUGACUAUGCUUAGUCCACUGCAGGACAGCCUCCACAG